UCUCCCAGAGCAGGUUUGUAUGUGUCACAUCUGUAGUGUUCCUAAUGAGUUGCUAAUGAGGCUUUGUAAAUGUGGAGGCACAGGCACUGAGGUGGGGGUGCUGGGAGGCUGAUGCACUAUCUUUUUUGGAGGUACCAUCUGUAAGAGUCUCCCUGCAUUUAACAAGCAUGUUUUCCAAGUAACUCUAAAGCCCUGAGCUUUGAGAGAGGUAUGAGACUGAGGAAGCUUCACUGGUGCUGAUGCCAUGAAUGGAGAAAGAUGCUGCUGGAUAAUUCAAGCAAGGGAGGAGUCUGAGCAGCGGCAAUAUAGACUGGCCAUUGUGCAUUCAGCCCUCACAUACAGAAAAUACUGAAUUCUAGCCAAGAGGGACAGGGUAUUUUGCUUCGUUUGUGAACAGAAGAGCGUUGCCUGGAGGACUUCCUCAUUAAUGCCAAUAAAAGCAGAAGCCAGACAAGCUUGCCUGACCGCAUUUCCCAGCUGUAAGGAGUGGAUUCCAUCUGACUCUUAAACAGAACCACAUUUCCAAAUGGAUCUAUAAAGGGCAUGAUGAGGUAGCUGGAGUGGAUUCCUUGCACUUAUUAGACCAUACUCUGCAGAGCAUAAGAGGCAUCCUGAAAUACAUGUCCAUCAGAGAUGUGAAUUCUGGCUGCUGUUUUUAGACUAUUUGUAUGUUUGUUCACAAGACCUAUUUGGAGCCCACUAAGCAGAGUCUGCAUUCGUCAAAGUCAUGCUUCUAUUGCUGUUUGUGCAAGAUUCUUGUAUCUACCUUUGCAUUGAACCAAAUCCUGAUUCUGAGAUGCCUACACUGAAAUUCGGAUAUGGGAUAUUUGUAAAUGGGAGAAGAAAGUUACGAGUCACGUGAAGAAUGUAUCGUAAACCACCUUCCACCACCGUUCUUGAUACUGGCACAUCUGAUACUUUACAGUUGAGAAGAAAUGAAAAAAGUAGAAAAACUGAUUGCCUUGAUGCAAAGCAUGGAGAACUGCAGCACAUACCACUGCAGGCACUGCCCGGCAAGAUCUGAGCUGAGAACACAACCUGCGUACUGGUGAUGUGCAUAUCUGUACAACUCCUCUGGAAGAAGUCUAGCUGCUGCUUGUUAAGCUGCUUUUUUUUUUUUUUUUUUUUUUUUUUUUUCCUGAUGCUCACUGGAAGGAAGCUGUAUAGUUUGGGUGCCUCAAGCUUAUCUAUUUACUUGCCAUCUUUUAUUAGAAGAGUGAAUCCAGGAUGUCCACUUUAGGACACAGGUCUUCUGGAAAGGAUAUACAGCUCUCCGUGUUAGUGAAUUUCAAGGAUCCUUGCUGUUGGCUGGCAGCACCUUUCACCACCUUUAUCAGUAACAGGUGAGGAAACUAAGGAAUGCAAAGAUCAAGUGAACUGUCAAGAACCAAACACAUUACAGCGGGGCUGAGGAACUCCAAAUACUCUCAUCCUUGGUCUGAAAACACAC